UAGGGAAUCUUCCGCAAUGGACGAAAGUCUGACGGAGCAACGCCGCGUGAGUGAAGAAGGAUUUCGGUUCGUAAAACUCUGUUGUUAGGGAAGAAAAAAUGUAUAGUAACUAUAUACAAAAGAGACGGUACCUAACCAGAAAGCCACGGCUAACUACGUGCCAGCAGCCGCGGUAAUACGUAGGUGGCAAGCGUUGUCCGGAAUUAUUGGGCGUAAAGCGCGCGCAGGUGGUUUAGAAAGUCUGAUGUGAAAGCCCACGGCUCAACCGUGGAGGGUCAUUGGAAACUAAAAAACUUGAGUGCAGGAGAGAAAAGUGGAAUUCCUAGUGUAGCGGUGAAAUGCGUAGAGAUUAGGAGGAACACCGGUGGCGAAAGCGGCUUUUUGGCCUGCAACUGACACUGAGGCGCGAAAGCGUGGGGAGCAAACAGG
rnacentral:rRNA from 1 species